rnacentral:misc_RNA from 1 species
GAUGAAGAACGCAGCGAAAUGCGAUAAGUAAUGUGAAUUGCAGAAUUCAGUGAAUCAUCGAAUCUUUGAACGCACAUUGCGCCCCUUGGUAUUCCGAGGGGCAUGCCUGUUCGAGCGUCAUUAUAACCCCUCAAGCUCAGCUUGGUGUUGGGGCCUGCUGCACUGGCAGCCCUUAAAAUCAGUGGCGGCGCCAUCUGGCUCUAAGCGUAGUAAUUCUUCUCGCUAUGGAGUCCUGGUGGAUGCUUGCCAUCAACCCCCAAUUUUUCUAUGGUUGACCUCGGAUCAGGUAGGGAUACCCGCUGAACUUAAGCAUAUCCAAUAAGCGGAGGA